AACCCCUUCCUCAUUCAUUCGCACGGUUUGGCCGAAACCGAGAGGAGAGGAGCGAACGGCUAGAGCGGACGGGCGGGCGACGGGGUCGCUCCGGAGACGUUUUUCCGGCAAGGAAAUUUGUGAAAAUUGAAGAGGAAGACGAGGGGAAUACUAAGGUGGUGAUUAUUAAAGGGAUCAAAACUUGUCAACGACACUAAGGAAGUACUGUGCUUGGGUUAAGGAGAAUCAUUUGGGAAGUGAUGGCAAUGAGACGACAGUACACUUACCAUCAUAGAGGGCAUCAGGAAGAAAGGUUUUAUAAGUUCUGUCAUGUGUUUGAGUCAGUGGAUUGUAUUUGAGGAGUCUGUUGGAGCUUAUGUUGAUGUUUGUGUUUAUGUUUUUAGUUGUUGUGAUUUAGAAGAUACAAUUUGGAACACUUUCAGUUGGAUUUUUUUUAGUGGCUCUUUUUUAUUUAUAUAUGGAUGAUGAUGAAGUUUAUGUUAUGUUAUAUUAGUCAGUGAA